rnacentral:rRNA from 1 species
GACGAACGCUGGCGGCGUGCUUAACACAUGCAAGUCGAACGGAAAGGCCCUGCUUUUGUGGGGUGCUCGAGUGGCGAACGGGUGAGUAACACGUGAGUAACCUGCCCUUGACUUUGGGAUAACUUCAGGAAACUGGGGCUAAUACCGGAUAGGAGCUCCUGCUGCAUGGUGGGGGUUGGAAAGUUUCGGCGGUUGGGGAUGGACUCGCGGCUUAUCAGCUUGUUGGUGGGGUAGUGGCUUACCAAGGCUUUGACGGGUAGCCGGCCUGAGAGGGUGACCGGCCACAGUGGGACUGAGAUACGGCCCAGACGCCUACGGGAGGCAGCAGUGGGGAAUAUUGCACAAUGGGCGGAAGCCUGAUGCAGCAACGCCGCGGGCGGGAUGACGGCCUUCGGGUUGUAAACCGCUUUCGCCUGUGACGAAGCGUGAGUGACGGUAAUGGGUAAAGAAGCGCCGGCUAACUACGUGC